rnacentral:rRNA from 1 species
UCACCAGGUUGAUUCUGCCUGACGUGGAUGCUAUUCUCUGGGACUAAGCCAUGCAUGUUGAUGAACCUUGUGGGGGAUUGACGGACGGCUCAGUGAUAGUACGAUGAUUUGGUUGGCGGGAGAGCUGUAACUGCGGGAAACUGCAGGUAGGGGGCUAGGAGUGUUUUUGACACGAGCCAAGUAAGUUGUAGGCCUAUCAGCUGGUAGUUAGGGUAAUGGCCUAACUAGGCGGAGACGGGAGACGGGGGAUCAGGGUUUGGUUCCGGAGAGGAUA